GGAUGAGCCCGCGGCCUAUCAGCUUGUUGGUGAGGUAGUGGCCUACCAAGGCGACGACGGGUAGCCGGCCUGAGAGGGCGACCGGCCACACUGGGACUGAGACACGGCCCAGACUCCUACGGGAGGCAGCAGUGGGGAAUAUUGCGCAAUGGGCGAAAGCCUGACGCAGCGACGCCGCGUGAGGGAUGACGGCCUUCGGGUUGUAAACCUCUUUCAGCAGGGACGAAGCGAGACUGACGGUACCUGCAGAAGAAGCACCGGCCAACUACGUGCCAGCAGCCGCGGUAAUACGUAGGGUGCAAGCGUUGUCCGGAAUUAUUGGGCGUAAAGAGCUCGUAGGCGGUCUGUCGCGUCGGAUGUGAAAACUCGGGGCUCAACCCCGAGCCUGCAUACGAUACGGGCAGACUUGAGUUCGGCAGGGGAGACUGGAAUUCCUGGUGUAGCGGUGAAAUGCGCAGAUAUCAGGAGGAACACCGGUGGCGAAGGCGGGUCUCUGGGCCGAUACUGACGCUGAGGAGCGAAAGCGUGGGGAGCGAACAGGAUUAGAUACCCUGGUAGUCCACGCCGUAAACGUUGGGCGCUAGGUGUGGGGGACCUUCCACGGCCUCCGUGCCGCAGCUAACGCAUUAAGCGCCCCGCCUGGGGGGUACGGCCGCAAGGCUAAAACUCAAAGGAAUUGACGGGGGCCCCGCACAAGCGGCGGAGCAUGCGGUUUAAUUCGAUGCGACGCGAAGAACCUUACCAAGGCUUGACAUACCGGGAAAACUGGCAGAGAUGUCAGGUCCGCAAGGGCCCGGUACAGGUGGUGCAUGGCUGUCGUCAGCUCGUGUCGUGAGAUGUUGGGUUAAGUCCCGCAACGAGCGCAACCCUCGUUCGAUGUUGCCAGCGCGUUAUGGCGGGGCUCAUAGGAGACUGCCGGGGUCAACUCGGAGGAAGGUGGGGACGACGUCAAGUCAUCAUGCCCCUUAUGUCUUGGGCUACACGCAUGCUACAAUGGCCGGUAAAAAGGGCUGCGAUACCGCAAGGUGGAGCGAAUCCCAUAAAGCCGGUCUCAGUUCGGAUCGGGGUCUGCAACUCGACCCCGUGAAGUUGGAGUCGCUAGUAAUCGCAGAUCAGCAUUGCUGCGGUGAAUACGUUCCCGGGCCUUGUACACACCGCCCGUCACGUCACGAAAGUCGGUAACACCCGAAGCCGGUGGCCCAACCCGUAAGGGAGGGAGCCGUCGAAGGUGGGGCUGG
rnacentral:rRNA from 1 species